rnacentral:rRNA from 1 species
UACGGAGGGGGCUAGCGUUGUUCGGAAUUACUGGGCGUAAAGCGCGUGUAGGCGGCGUGACAAGUCGGGUGUGAAAGCCCUCAGCUCAACUGAGGAAGUGCGCCCGAAACUGUCGUGCUUGAGUGUCGGAGAGGGUAGCGGAAUUCCCCAAGUAGAGGUGAAAUUCGUAGAUAUGGGGAGGAACACCGGUGGCGAAGGCGGCUACCUGGACGACUACUGACGCUGAGACGCGAAAGCGUGGGGAGCAAACAGG